GACGUAGGGCGCGAGCGUUGUCCGGAUUUAUUGGGCGUAAAGAGCUCGUAGGCGGCUUGUUGCGUCGGCUGUGAAAACCCGUGGCUUAACUGCGGGCUUGCAGCUGAUACGGGCGGGCUGGAGUUCGGUAGGGGAGACUGGAAUUCCUGGUGUAGCGGUGAAAUGCGUAGAUAUCGGGAGGAACACCGGUGGCGAAGGCGGUUCUCUGGGCCUUACCUGACGCUGAGGAGCGAAAGCGUGGGGAGCGAACAGG
rnacentral:rRNA from 1 species